AUUGAACGCUGGCGGCAGGCCUAACACAUGCAAGUCGAACGAGUGGCGGACGGGUGAGUAAUGUCUGGGAAACUGCCUACUGGAGGGGGAUAACUACUGGAAACGGUAGCUAAUACCGCAUCCCAUCGGAGGUGCCCAGAUGGGAUUAGCUAGUAGGUGGGGUAAAGGCUCACCUAGGCGACGAUCCCUAGCUGUUCUGAGAGGAUGACCAGACAGACUGGAACUGAGACACGGUCCAGACUCCUACGGUAGGCAGAAGUGGGGAAUAUUGCGCAAUGGGCGCAAGCCUGAUGCAGCCAUGCGGCGUGUCUGAAGAAGGCCUUCGGGUUGUAAAGUACUUUCAGCGGGGAGGCGUUACCCGCAGAAGAAGCACCGGCUAACUCCGUGCCAGCAGCCGCGGUAAUAC
rnacentral:rRNA from 1 species